GAUUCCGUAGCUCAGUCGGUAGAGCACGUGACUUUUAAUCAUGGGGUCGUGGGUUCGAAUCCCACCGGAAUCACCA
rnacentral:tRNA from 5 species